GGCGGUGCGCGCGGUGGUCGGCGAGCCGCUCGGCGCGGAGGGAGUGGCCGCCCCCGGGCCCCCGCACCCCGCGCCCUCGGCCCCCCGGGCCCGCCCCUCGGCCGCGCCGCGUCAUGCCCGGCGCCGCUCGGCGCUAGUGUCCGGGCCGCCGCCGCCCGCCCGCAGCCGCGCCCACUGUGCAGAGCCAGAGGGAUGGUGGCAGUCACGGGGCGGGAGCCAGACAGCCGUCGCGCGGACGGUGCCAUGUCCAGCUCCGACGCCGAGGACGACUUCGUGGAGCCGGCCACUCCGACGGCCACGCAGGCGGGGCACGCGCUGCCCCUGCUGCCCCAGGAGUUUCCUGAGGUUGUCCCCCUUAACAUUGGAGGGGCUCACUUCACCACACGUCUGUCCACCCUGCGGCGCUAUGAGGACACCAUGCUGGCGGCCAUGUUCAGCGGGCGGCAUUACAUCCCCACCGACGCCGAGGGCCGGUACUUCAUUGACCGGGAUGGCACGCACUUUGGAGAUGUGCUGAAUUUUCUGCGCUCGGGCGACCUGCCGCCCCGGGAACGUGUACGGGCUGUGUACAAAGAGGCCCAGUACUAUGCCAUCGGUCCUCUCCUGGAGCAGCUAGAGAACAUGCAGCCUCUGAAGGGGGAGAAAGUGCGCCAGGCAUUUCUGGGACUCAUGCCCUAUUACAAAGACCAUUUGGAGCGGAUCGUGGAGAUUGCCCGGCUGCGUGCGGUACAGCGGAAGGCCCGCUUUGCCAAGCUCAAGGUCUGUGUCUUCAAGGAGGAGAUGCCCAUCACCCCCUAUGAGUGUCCGCUUCUCAACUCCCUGCGCUUCGAGCGGAGCGAGAGCGAUGGGCAGCUCUUUGAGCACCAUUGCGAGGUGGAUGUGUCUUUUGGGCCCUGGGAGGCUGUGGCUGAUGUUUAUGACCUACUGCACUGCCUGGUCACGGACCUCUCAGCCCAGGGCCUCGUCGUGGACCACCAGUGCAUCGGGGUGUGUGACAAGCACCUCAUCAACCACUACUACUGCAAGCGUCCCAUCUAUGAGUUCAAGAUCACGUGGUGGUGAGUAGCCCUGCUAGGGACAGAGGCCUGUCAGGGAGGGCGUCUGUUCUCUAUAGUGGCUCUGGGAGUAGGAUCCUGAGAGGGGCACUAACUGCCCCAGACCCGCUGAGGUGAGGACCAAGUCCUGGGGCACAGCUGCAAGGGGUUGAAGGUCUCCUGGCAGCUCCAGCCUCCUGGCUGGGCCUUGAGGUCAGGCUUAGGGCUUGUGGCCCGGAGGGACUUGUACCCGCGCUCUUCUGACCUUUCCUCAGGGCACGGCAAUCUUUUCCUGAGGCUGAUGGGGUCUGGCGAGCUGGGGCUGGACCAGGAAGUCCGGAGAGGUUUUGUCACUCUCCUGGUCUUGCAAGAGAGUUUCUGCCCUUUUUAGUGCCACGUUACCAGACUACUACAGGCGUGAUCCCUUCCUCAGCCCCGUUCGAGGGCCCCUUGCGUGUGCCUAGCACACAGGUAUGAGCACAGAUUGCUAUGGGGGUUACCCAAGGACCUACCCCAAAGCCCCUGACUGAAGGAGAAGCAUUUUCUCUCCCUCUUCCCCCAGGGAUAGUUCCAGGCUUUGUUUUAGGAUGUGGAGAGACUCUUCCUCCUGAAACAUACUCUUCACCACCUUUUGGAGAUGUAACCAUAGUUGCCAAAGCCGUGCACCAGGUUGGCCUUAGAAGAGCACAAUGUUUACAGCCCUGCCUUAGGGCCGCAGCUUCUCCUACCUUCCACCAACCUUCCUUGCUUGAAGGGUUAUCUUCUCAGGGCUGUAAUGUAGAUUUCAGAGGUUCCUUUCGAAGAUUCCCUGAGUCAAGCAGGCAGGUUGCAUAGAUCUGUUAUCUUUGAGAUGUAACAUCCUUUCUGGAGGCUCAGAAUAUCUCUUUGGCUGCCAUUUCAUGUGUUAGCAUCCGAUUUGUGGUGAACCUCUGUAGAUAGGAGCCCCUCUUUUAAACCCUGCUGCUUUACCCUGCUCACGUUCUCCUAGCAGAAGUGUCUGUUCUGAGGAAGCACACAAAGGCUUGGGUGGGAGGCACAGCUAGACCAGGAGCUGUAGGACAGUCGUAGCAAGCCUCCAUCAUGCUGUCCUCUCCACAUCUCAGACAGAGAAAAAGAUCCACAGGGUCCUGCUCCCAGUGCAUUUUCUUCUUGCUCCCGUCUUCAGACCAGGGCAGUUAAGCAGGCUGUGGACACGCGUCUCCUGAAAGAAGAGCUGCGUGGCACCAGCAGUGGGAACGUAACAUUCCUGUGCUGCAUUAAGGGCUUCUCCCUGUGAUCAUGACUGUGCUUGACGGUCCUGGGUAUUUGUUAGGGAGGUUUUUUUAUAUGUAAAACACGGGCAAGGACAGCCUCAUUGGUCUCAGUCCUACAAGACCAGAUUGAUGGGGGAGCGGGAGGGGGAGCUGAAGACGUCUGCAUCCUUCUGAGGAAGAGAAGGCCAAGUCCUGGGACCUCGCUGAACCCCUCAGUGGGGCAGUGACCUCCUGGCCCUCUGUGGAGCGGGUUAGGGGCGCAGUUUUGCACUCCACGUCAUGUGGUGGAACAGAGGUCCACACGGGGUUCUAAGAGGAAGGUAAAGUCAGCUGUCGAGGUUCUGAGGUAUGUGUUCUCUCCAUUGUUCUCAUCCACGAAUGAAUCAUCGCUGUUCUGGAGUUGAUGUCCCUGCCUAAAGCUUACUCCGACAACUCGGCUCUUGUCUUGUUCUAAUAGAAGUCCUUCACUGAAUUUGCUCCGAUCGGUGUUACUGCCUAAUGCAAACUCAUUUUUGGACAGACACUGAGGCAAGCUCUUCGGGAGAAAGCUGGUGUAGGAGUGUGCCCACCCAGUCUAGGCACAGAGCUCUCCCCUCUCGUGUGGAGAGGUCUCCAGGGGAAGAAGAUACCACAGGUGCGCAGUCACUGUGUAGCUCCCAGCCACGUCAGGUGGUUCCGAAAGGAAUCCCUUCUGUC